GGACGUGGCUCAGUGGCAAAGCAUCUGCUUUGCGUCCAGAAGGUCCCAGGUUCAAUCCCUGGCAUCUUCC